AUACGGAGGGUGCAAGCGUUAUUCGGAAUCACUGGGCGUAAAGGACGCGUAGGCGGGUUGGCAAGUCAGAUGUGAAAUCCUACAGCUUAACUGUAGAACUGCAUUUGAAACUGCUAACCUAGAGUAUGGGAGGGGGAGAUGGAAUUAGUGGUGUAGGGGUAAAAUCCGUAGAUAUCAUUAGGAAUACCGAAAGCGAAGGCGAUCUCCUGGAACAUAACUGACGCUAAGGCGUGAAAGCGUGGGGAGCAAACAGGAUUAGAUACCCUAGUAGUCC
rnacentral:rRNA from 1 species